rnacentral:rRNA from 1 species
GAUGAACGCUAGCGGCAGGCCUAACACAUGCAAGUCGAGGGGUAGAAGGAGCUUGCUCCUUUGAGACCGGCGCACGGGUGUGUAACGCGUAUGCAAUCUACCUUGUACAGGGGAAUAGCCCAGAGAAAUUUGGAUUAAUGCCCCAUAGUAUAUAACCUUCGCAUGUUGGUUAUAUUAAAGUUCCAACGGUACAAGAUGAGCAUGCGUCCCAUUAGUUAGUUGGUAAGGUAACGGCUUACCAAGACGAUGAUGGGUAGGGGUCCUGAGAGGGAGAUCCCCCACACUGGUACUGAGACACGGACCAGACUCCUACGGGAGGCAGCAGUGAGGAAUAUUGGUCAAUGGUCGCAAGACUGAACCAGCCAUGCCGCGUGCAGGAAGACGGUCCUAUGGAUUGUAAACUGCUUUUAUACAGGAAGAAACCCUCCCACGUGUGGGAGCUUGACGGUACUGUAGGAAUAAGGAUCGGCUAACUCCGUG